rnacentral:rRNA from 1 species
UACGUAGGGGGCAAGCGUUGUCCGGAUUUAUUGGGCGUAAAGAGCGUGUAGGCGGCCAGAUAGGUCGGUUGUGAAAACUGGAGGCUUAACCUCCAGACGUCGACCGAAACCAUUCGGCUAGAGUCCGGAAGAGGAGAGUGGAAUUCCUGGUGUAGCGGUGAAAUGCGCAGAUAUCAGGAAGAACACCCGUGGCGAAAGCGGCUCUCUGGGACGGUACUGACGCUGAGACGCGAAAGCGUGGGGAGCGAACAGG